AUUCAAAUAGCUUAAUAAGAGCAUAAUAUUGAAGAUAUUAAGGUAAUAUUUUAUUUUUGAAUA
rnacentral:tRNA from 1 species